UUACGGUCAUAUCACCUUGAAUCACCGGUUCCCGUACGAUCACCGAAGUUAAGCAACGUCAAGCCUAGUUAGUAACGAGAUGGGUGGCUUGAGAAUACCAGAUAC